rnacentral:ncRNA from 1 species
CGAAACUCUGGAAAGCUAGAUGGCACCGAAGGAGCAAACCUUAUAUAGGAGAAACUCUCAGGUUAAGAAACAGAGUAA